rnacentral:tRNA from 1 species
CCAAUUGUGGCUCAGCUGGUAAAGAAUCCACCUGCAAUGUGGGAGACCUGGGUUCAAUCCCAGGGUUGGG